rnacentral:rRNA from 1 species
CCCUUAGAUGCUCUGGGCCGCACGCGCGCUACACUGGUCGAUGCAACGAGUUUCUUUCCUUGGCCGACAGGCCUGGGCAAUCUUUGAACAUCGAUCGUGAUCGGGAUAGAUUCUUGUAAUUUUUGAUCUUAAACGAGGAAUUCCUAGUAAACGCAAGACAUCAGCUUGCAUUGAUUACGUCCCUGCCCUUUGUACACACCGCCCGUCGCACCUACCGAUUGAAUGGUCCGGUGAAAUCUCCGGACUGGCGUGAGUCGGAGCAAUCUGACAAACACCGGAAAGUUGAUUAAACCUUACCAUUUAGAGGAAGGUGAAGUCGUAACA